GUGGGGAAUAUUGGACAAUGGGCGAAAGCCUGAUCCAGCCAUGCCGCGUGUGUGAAGAAGGUCUUCGGAUUGUAAAGCACUUUAAGUUGGGAGGAAGGGCAGUAAGUUAAUACCUUGCUGUUUUGACGUUACCGACAGAAUAAGCACCGGCUAACUUCGUGCCAGCAGCCGCGGUAAUACGAAGGGUGCAAGCGUUAAUCGGAAUUACUGGGCGUAAAGCGCGCGUAGGUGGUUUUGUAAGUUGGAGGUGAAAUCCCCGGGCUCAACCUGGGAACUGCCUCCAAAACUGCAUUACUAGAGUACGGUAGAGGGUAGUGGAAUUUCCUGUGUAGCGGUGAAAUGCGUAGAUAUAGGAAGGAACACCAGUGGCGAAGGCGACUACCUGGACUGAUACUGACACUGAGGUGCGAAAGCGUGGGGAGCAAACAGGAUUAGAUACCCUUGUAGUCC
rnacentral:rRNA from 1 species